AUCUAUUGAACUUCUUUCUGGCAAUGUCUUGUUGAAUUUGAAAGAUCGCAAGAAUCUCAAGAGUCUUCCAAGUACUAUAAAUGGUUUGAGAUCUCUUAGAAUGUUGCAUCUCUCUGGCUGCUCCAAACUUAAAAAUGCGCCAGAGACCUUGGGGAAAGUUGAAAGCUUGGAAGUUAGAUUGUCCUGUUAGAAUCGGGCAAAAAUGCAGAAUGAUUUCGACUGUGGAACAGAGUGCAGUCGAGACAGUAACAAAGUUCGCAAAAGCAGAAUUAAUUGCUCAGGUACUUUACAAAAUUAAUAAUUUCCUUUAUAACAUGCAGUACUGUAUUACUUCUAUGUGCAUUCUUAUUAAUGUUGCUCGACAGAAAGAUUCAGAUUCAUGGAAAAAGAAUGUUGAUAAGGGCAUCAAGCUAUCUACAACAGCAGUAUCAGCCUGCUCACUUGCCUGCCAUAGGCUGAUUCAAAUCUCAAGAGCCAUGCCGAAGAGUUGAAUCUAAUAACAGCAAAUUCACAUCUUAGGUGGCCUUUUCUUCUAGCUUAGUCUCUGCAUCAUUUUUUGUGGCAGGUUCGUUCUAUAAUAAUCUCAUAAGCACAUAUCAUGAUCUUUAUUUCAUCAUGCUUGCAUAGUUUGUUUACUUCUGCAGAGUGAUAUACACAUUCACAAUCUCUCUUUUGCAUGACUACUAUAAAUUUAAGUAGAAAUUGAUUUUUGAAUAUGCUCUUAUUCUUUAUUAAUCAUAUAAAAAGUUCAGACGUCCGGCUAUAUGAUUAUUUACAGCUGUCUUGCAGAUGGAUUCGUAAGCUUAUUAAGUAAUAUUAUCAACAAUUUUUGGAUUAGCUUAUCUAUAUUCAUCAAUUGCAUACGACUGUAGCAUUUACUUGAUUUUAGAGCCUGGCCGUGGAAUCAAUAUUGCAUUGAGAAAUACAGAAAUGAUCAAAUUACAAGCCUUAGGAGUUGCUAUUUAUGUUAUUAUUGAAGGAUGAUUCAAAUUCUAAUCCCUCAAUAAUCAACUUUAAGUGAUCACAUAAUAAUUGACUUAACUUCGACAUGCUUAUUUCAUUUUGCGCUUUUUUUUCCCCAAUUAUACACUUGAGUCUUGACCAUAGUAACCCCAAAAUUGAUAUUAUAUUUUAAAAAUCAAUAUAAAUCUAUUAUUAAUAUAAACAAAUUAAAUAUGUUUUUGGAACCGAAGCCAGUGGAAUGGCUGCUGUGGUGAUGAGGAACCACAACCUCAAAGAUGAACUCAAAUACUUACUAUUAUCUGAAUUUGCCACUAAGCAUGCAUUCAAAUGUUAUUUCAUUUGCAUUCUAUUUAUUGAAAAAUCUGUUAAACAGUCUUAAACCUUUCUUUCCAAGCUUUAAGCAUCUUCAAAGAAAAAUGCCAAGCUUUUUACCUUUAUUUUCCAAUCUUUACUUAUUUUAAUGAGAAAAUUCGACAAUGUUAAAAAAAAAAAUGAAAGAUUGUAGUGGAAUUACUCCAAAUAAUGUAAUUACAUUUGAAGAUCCCCUUAAUAAAAUACAUAAAGAAAUCAUUGCUUUUGGUGUGUAGAUUAUUGAAGCUAGCUUUUUGUUGUGGACCGCCCAAUUCGCUAGCUCAAUUUGCUCACCAAGAGCCCAACACAAGGCCAAGAGUGCUAACUUAGCCCAAUUUCAGAAAGUUAUAGGCAACUCUAGCACAUGUGAGCUUGUAAAUACUUUAGAAUUCUCUAUAUAUUUCCAGCACAUGUAAAUUCUAGAUAGUUGGUAGAUUUCUCUAAAAUCUCUAGAGCUUGGCAAGCCUCUCCUAUAAUUAUGGGAUGGCAUUAGGCAUUUGUACACAACAACAAGCAUUGUAAGUAACUCAAGCAUUGUAAUCUCUCUUUUGUGCAAUACAAGUUUUCUUAUUCGGCUCCAUUGCUCUCUUCUCUAGUUCGAGAAGUUCAAAACUUACUUAGCAACCUUCGGCAAAGUUGUCUAAGUGCCGCACGGAUUAGCUGCGCAAAAUACUCAUCUCGUGACAUUUUGUCGACAUCAAAUAGUGCAUGUCUUUUCUACACUAAAGACCAAAAUCAUUCUUCAUUAUUACUUUCGGCACAUAUUUUAGACUAAACUUGUUUGUUGACUGAGAAAUUAAUUAGAACCCAUAAAAAUGCUUGCAUUGAUUUCUUUGAAACAAACUUAAUUGGAAAUUCCAGUAAAAAAUGUCAAGCCUUUUAACCUUUACUUUCCCAUCUUUACUUAUUUUAACAAGAAAAUUCUACAAUUUAAAUAAAAAAAUUCUUAAAAGAUUAUAUUGGAAUUUUUCCAAAAGAGUAAAUCCUUAAAAGAUUUUUAGUGGAAUUAUUUCACAAGAAUAAAUUUUUAAAAGAUUAAAGUGGAAUUCACUGUGUCCUAUAAAAUGCAAUUACAUUGAAGAUGCCAUUAAUAACAUGCUUUUGUCAACAUCAUGUCGAUCAUAUCUUUGAUCACAUGCAUUCUUCACAAUCACUUUUGGCAUACACUUUUGAUUAAACUUUUUGUCUUUGGAAAAUUAAUUUCCAUGUGUUGUGAUUUUCAUAGAUGGAUUUAAAAAAAAAAACGACUUUUGCAAGGCAUUUCCGACUUUGGGAGAACUUUUUUUUUAACGUUUGGAUUUUUUAGAAUCUGGAUUUGGAAAAUGAUAGGAGUUGUACAAUACAUACCUCAGCUUAGGAUCAAGCUUCGGGUUUGAUAUCAGGUUCGUUCUAUAAUAAUCUCAUAUGCACAUAUCUUAAUAUUUAUUUUAUGGGAGAUUCCCAAUUUUCUUAUAGUGCAAUCAAUAUUUACUAUUUGUCCCAUAUUGCUUUUAUAAUAGUCAAUAAUUCUUCCGAUAGCAUAAGUUUAUAAUAUUAUCUUUAUUUUUAAAUACACUUUUAUUCACAUUUAUUAUUGAUUAAAUAAAUCAUAUUAAUGGAAAUAAAAAUAAAAAUUAAGUAUUAAAAAAAAGAAAUAUAUGUUUUGAUGUAAAAAAAUUAAUAAUAAAAUAUUUUUCCUGUACUUUGUAUUCUAUAAACAUUUUCUUAUAAUAAAUGUAUGAGAAAAUUAUUGUAAAAUGAUAAAACAUUAUUAUAAGAAAACUUGAAUGAUAAAUAAAACAUUAUUACAAGAUAAGUAAUAAAAUAUUUUGCUUGCACUGUUUACAUUUUAUUUUAAAAUAUUAUAAAAUAUUUAUUAUAAGAAAAUAUUCACAAAAUAAAAUGAUAAGAAAAAAAAUCUUAUUAUUGAUUUUUUUGCUCAGAUCAAAGCAUAUAUUUCUUUUUUUAAUACUUAAUUUUUUUAUUUAGUUUUUAUUCAUAUGAUUUAUUUAAUUUAUAAUAAAUAUAAAUAAUAGAGUGGUUGAAAAUAAGAGUAAUAUUGUAAACUUAUUCUGUUGGUCUAGGGGAAGGAGCAAUCCCUAGUGAUAUUGGCAACUUACACUCAUUAAAUGAGUUGUAUCUGAGUAAAAACAAUUUUGUUACGCUGCCAGCAAGUAUUAAUAGUCUUUUAAAUCUUAAAGAACUAGAGAUGGAAGAUUGUAAAAGGCUUCAAUCUCUGCCACAACUUCCACCCAACAUAAUUUUUGUUAAAGUGAAUGGUUGUUCUUCGUUGGUGACAUUAUUAGGUGCAUUAAAACUAUGCAAGUCCAACGGCAUAGUAAUUGAAUGCAUAGACAGCUUGAAAUUGCUCAGAAACAACGGUUGGGCAAUUUUAAUGCUGCGAGAGUACCUCGAGGUCAGUCUCUCAUUUCAAGUCUCCCGACUAUGCCAAAAUUAUGACUGACAAUCAAGCAAAUGGUAGGGACGACCUCAUUUUUUUAUUUUUUGUUUGCAGGCAGUGUCGGAUCCAUUAAAAGAUUUCAGCACUGUUGUCCCAGAAAGUAAAAUUCCAAAGUGGUUCAUGUACCAGAAUGAGGGUCCUUCAAUAACAGUCACAAGGCCUUCAUAUUUAUAUAAUAUGAAUAAGAUUGUGGGAUAUGCUAUUUGCUGUGUUUUUCAUGUCCGUAGAUAUUCAACUCGUAUAAAAAAGCGACGGCAUUCAUAUGAAUUGCAGUGCUGUAUGGAUGGUUCUGAUAGAGGUUUUUUUAUUACUUUUGGAGGAAAAUUCAGUCAUAGUGGGUCAGACCAUCUUUGGCUACUCUUUUUAUCUCGACGAGAAUGCUAUGAUCGUCGGUGGAUUUUUGAAUCUAAUCAUUUUAAGUUGUCAUUUAAUGAUGCUAGAGAGAAAUACGAUCUGGCUGGGUCAGGUACUGGAUUGAAGGUGAAGAGGUGUGGCUUCCAUCCAGUUUAUAUGCACGAAGUUGAGGAGUUGGAUCAAACAACAAAGCAAUGGACUCACUUUACUUCUUAUAGUCUGUAUGAAUCCGAUCACGAUUUUUUUGGAUCAAAUAUGGAAGUAGCCACAACAUCAAAAUGAAGCCUCGCAGAAAAUGCUGGGGCAGCUGAAGCCAGUGGCAGUGGCUGCUGUGAUGAAGAUGAGGAACCACCACCUAAAAGAUUUAGACAACUCAAAUGAAGGGCAAAGCCUAGUGUAACAGUGUAGUACGCAUCACAAUUUCAAUUUUAUGUUCUUUAAAUUUGUACAUGGUAUUUCAUUUACUUCUUAUUUAUUCUGAUCUUGCAAUUUAUUUUCAUGUUAAAUUACCAUAAAUGCUCAACUUCGAUCAAAAUGUUGGUCAGAAUCAGAAUGUGUUGCUCGACCAAAUUGAAGCUUUGAAUUUUCUGAUUUCUCAUGGGUUAAAGAUUAAAGAAAGAGGGAAAAUUAAUCCUUUGUUUUGUAUUCUUAUUGUAUCUCUCUUUCACUGCAGCAUUCUGUCAUUUUGUAUCCAUUAUUAAAUGUGCGAGUUUCAGGGUACACUUGAAGGGGAUAAUUAAGCUUAUUCUAAAUUAUAUAGCACUUGAAGCCGAUAUGGAUUUUCGCUUGUUGAGAUUCUCACUGAAUUUGCAUAGAAUUUACUUAGAAUAACAAUAGCGCCUUCUGAGUAAACAUUACAAACAUAAAGCAAUUUUAAGUCUCACAAAAAGUUGCGAAUUAAAGAAACUGUACAAGCUAUAACAAUUUAUAGAGAAAAAUGAAAUUGAACGAAAAAUGUAGUUUGAUGUAGUAAAAUUAUCAUUUAUAUAUAAAGAUCAUAUCAUAUAUUUUUCUGUACAAGGAUCAUAUCAUAUAUUUGACCAAAAAGAUUUUUGGCAAAAAAAAUAAUUAUUGUUCAUUGUUGUCUUCAGUGUGAACAUUUGUGCUUUUUAUCCCUUUUAUUUUGAUGUUCGAAUUUUUUUGGCCUUCAUGGUUUCGUUGAACUUAACUGUUCUUAUUUAUUUUGGGUUUUCUGACUUUUGCUAUAUUGGAUUAUUGACGCCCCUUUAAUCUUUUCAUUAAUCCUUUUUUUUAUUUUUUUUCCAGUUAUUCUUACUUUGAAUUCCAAAAAAAUGUCCAUUUUUUAAUCACUCAUCUAAUUAUUAAAAUUAUUCUCUUAUUGAAGUUGAGAUCUAACUUCACUACUCAACUUUUCUAAGAUUUAGGUCUUAGGUUCGAACUUCAAUGGAUGCGUGACUUAAUUUUAAAAAUGACUUUUAUUAUUUUCUUGUUGAUUCUUUUCACGGAGUUGGAUUAUUGCCCCCUCAAUAUUCUCAUAAGACCUCUUUUUUUUUUUUAGCUAUUCUUACUUUUAAUUCUAGAAACAUCCUUUUUUUAAUACACUCUUCUAAUUUUUCUUUUAUUUAACAUUCUUGUUAAUUUGCAAUCCAUCCUACACACAUAUUAUCAGUGAUGAAUUUUUUAACGUAAAAUAUUAACAUAAAUUACAAACACUUUAAAAUAUAACUUUGGCUUAAAUUACAUAUAUUUUAAAUUAUAAUUUGAAAGUAAUCUUAAGUAAAAAAAAAUGUUCAAUCAAUAAGAAUUAGGAAAAGAAUAAUAUAAUAUUUCAAAUUUAAGCAAAUUUAUUUUGGAUAGAUAGGAAGUCAUGAAUGAUAAAGAAAACAACAAAAAAAAAAAUGGGUUGAUUAUGGAUACAAGUAAUUUGUAGGGAAAAAAAUAAUUUUAUUUGAAAUGUGGUUGUUUAAAGAUGAUAAAAGGGUGCUCAUAGCAUCACAAGUUCCACAAGCAUGCUCGACAUCCAUUCAAUCAAGAAGAGUCAAGCUUUUGACACUCCUCAAAAGUCCUUAUAAUAAUCUCAGACGCACACAUCUUGAUCUUAAUUUAUCAUGCUUGUAUCCUUUGUUCACUUCUGCCACAGUGCCAUACACAUUUACUGCAACGAAGUUUCUCUAUUUCUUUUAAUCGCCUUUUGUAUAUGCUGCGAUCCUUUAUUAAUUGCGGAUGGAUUUUUAAUGUUAAUAAGAGUAAUAUUCUUUACCAAUUUUUGGAUCAAAAGUAAGUAUUAUCUCCGAACUUGCUACGUACCCUCCUUGAAUCAAAAUUGCAUUCAUGCUCGAUGAGAUUAUCCCCCCCUCCUCGAUUAUUUAAAUAAAAUUUAGGCCAUGUUUGGUUUGAAGAAAGAGAAGGAGAGGAAAAGAGUGGAAUGGAGGGGAAGGGAGAAGAAAGGAGUGGAGAGAAUAAUGAAAUUAAAUUUCAUUUUUUUGUUUGAUAUAAAAUUUAAUAGGGAAAGGAAUUACAAUUUUGAGAGGAAAAGAGUGGAAUGAAGGGGAAGGGAGAAGAAAGGAGUGAAGAGAAUAAUGAAACUAAAUUUCAUUGUUUGGUUUGAUAUAAAAUUUAAUAGGGAAAUGAAUUACAAUUUUUUUCUUCGAACAAAUUUAUCAUUUGCCUUAAAUAUUAAACUAUCUAUAUUAGUAAUGAAAUAUAAUUUAAUAUCAACAUGAAACUUUUUAAUGUCAAAAAGUUCUAAAACAAUUCAUGAUUUGUUGGAAUUAUAUAUAUGUAUAUGUAUAAAAUGGCAGUCUGGCAGUAAUUUUAAAAGCUUUAAUUUCCAACAUAAGAAGAAUUUAAAUUCUUCACUUCUCAGUGUGGAAUUCAAAUUCUACACUAUGGUGAAUAUUAAAUUCUAAUGAAAAUUAAAUUCUUAUAUGUUUUGUCCAACCAAACAAUGAAAAUAAAAAUAGAAUUCAAAUUACUUUCCUCUCCUUCAUUCUCUCCUCCCAAUCAAACACUACCUUAGACGAAAAAAAACAGGUCACAUGAUUGUUAAAUAUGCGUGUCUGAAAAUAUACAAACUAAAUUAAUUUACCAAGGAAAAUGGCAUGAAUAAUUAAUGUGUAUAUUGUUUUUUUGGGGGGAGGGGGGGUGGGGAGUGGAGUUUUGAGGUGUAUGGAGUGCGAUUGUGGCUUUGAAAGUUAUUAAAUGUGUUUGUUGAGGCAACGAUGUUUGGAGGAUAUUCAUCUGUUUAAAUAAGCUACACUUAGGAUAUAUCAUAAACUAUAUUGUCUACUAAGGCAUUUCUGAUUUAUUAAAUUGGGAUCAUAUGAUAUAUUUAAUCUACAACCUCAAAGAUGAACCCAAAUAAUCUGACUUUAUCACCAAGCGCGCAUCUCAAAUUCAAAUAUUAUUUUGAAUCAGUUGAGGGGUAGUGACGUGGCAAUCUUUAGAUUGGUGUCCGAGUUUGUUAGCCGUGGUUAGCACUUUAGCAGCAGCUAUAAACAAACACAGGGUCUGGUUUAUUGGCAAUCUUUAAUUCAUCCGUUUGUAAGGCAGAGCAAGAGUUAGAGAGUGUUUAUUGAGCUCACACUCUUCCUUGUCAUUUCCUCUGUGAAUUUUGAGGCUACAAUGAUUAGGAAGAAAGACAAGUAUCUAUAUGAAUAUGAAUUGAGGAUUUUAGGCUUUGAACAAACGAAAAAUAGACAAAGGAAUGAUUAUGUGGAACUUGCAGGCCAAGUUCAAGAGCGGAAUUAUGGUAUAAUUCUCGUGCCUAGGACGUGUUCGAUAAUAUGUCCUCGAAGGAACGUGCAUCCCACCUGGUGUAAUCGAAGCUGUAAGUUUUAUGCUAUGCAGUUCUAUUUAUUUUCAAUUUUGUUUUUGAAUUUUCAGAAUUAAUAUGAAGAAAGACGUCAUUUAUUUCCAAAACAGAAUCAUUAUCAAGUUUCAUAAUUUCUUGUACCUGUAAACUUUGGUCUUUGAGAAAUAUUUGCGCCUGCAACUCAUGAUUAAUUUUAGUUUUAGUUUAGUUUAGUUUAGUUUUAUUUUUUUCCCCAUAAGGUAGAGAUGAGAUGAGAAACCUCAUUCAUUAAACACCAAAAAGUAUUUUAAAGUAUGCUGGUGGUCUUCCGUUAGUCUCAAGGUUUUGGGCUCAUUUUUGUUUGGUAGAACCAUAGUUGAACGGGAAAGUGCACUACAAGACUAUAUAGAGAUCCUGAAAGUGAGAUUCUUGAUGCACUUCAAAUGAGUUUUGAGGGGUCAAAAGGAAUAGAGAAGAAAAUAUUUCUCACUAUUGCGUGUUUCUAUGAAGGGAAGUAUAGAGAUUAUGUGAAAAAAAUUCUCAAAUACUGUGAUUUUGAACCAAUUAUCGGAAUUGUUAGUUUUAUUGAAAAAUCUCUAUUGACUAUAGAUGAUUUUAGCGGACAGUGGAUGCAUGAGUUGUUACAAGAAAUGGGGUAGACUAAUUGUUAGGAGGCGAUCCCCUCAGGAGCCUAGAAACUGCAGUAGAUUGUGGGAGGAAGCAGAUGUAUGUCAUGUAUUAUCACAAAACAGUGUAAAUGUUUACUGAAGCUGAAAACUUGUAUUUUUGGGAUCAUGAUCACUUAUUUAACUAGUUCAUUCUUUGCAUAGUUUUAUCAAUAUUUUCUUUCUUUCAUUUUUUUCCCACUUAUUUUUUUCUUAUAACGUUUAGGAAACUGAUGUAGUUGAAGUCAUCGUAUUUGAUCGCUUUAGCAACAAAGAGAUGCAUUUCGGUGCUAAAGCCUUUUCUGAUAUGAUCAAUCAGACUUCACAAGAGCACCACAUUUAGAGGAGCUGAAUUUUGAAGGAUUUACAAGGUUGUGUGAAUUCACUCAUUUUUGUUCCUUCAAAGAAGCUGAGUUUUUUGAAUUUGAAAGGUUGUACAAGUCUUACAACUCUUCCAGGCAAGACCUUUAUGAAAUCUCUUAAGACACUUGUUCUUUCUGGUUGCUUGAAAUUGAAGAAAUUUCCAGACAUUGUGCAAGUUCUUUGGGAUGGAACUGAUAUUAGAGAAUUGUCAUUCGCAAUUGAACUUCUAUUUAGACUUGUUCAGUUGACUCUGAAUGGCUGCAAAAAUCUUGAGCGUCUUCCAAGGACCAUAAGUGCUCUAAAUUAAGUAUCAACUUUGAAUCUUUCUGGCCUUUUGAAAUUCAGAGAGUUCCCAGAGAAAACUUCAAGCAAGGAUCAGCUCUUGGAGAUUCAUCUGGAAGGAACUGCUAUAAGAGGAUUGCCAGCAUCUAUUGAACUUCUUUCUGGCAAUGUCUUGUUGAAUUUGAAAGAUCGCAAGAAUCUCAAGAGUCUUCCAAGUACUAUAAAUGGUUUGAGAUGUCUUAGAAUGUUGCAUCUCUCUGGCUGCUCCAAACUUAAAAAUGCGCCAGAGACCUUGGGGAAAGUUGAAAGCUUGGAAGUUAGAUUGUCCUGUUAGAAUCGGGCAAAAAUGCAGAAUGAUUUCGACUGUGGAACAGAGUGCAGUCGAGACAGUAAC
rnacentral:lncRNA from 1 species